rnacentral:rRNA from 1 species
UACGUAGGGGGCAAGCGUUGUCCGGAAUCACUGGGCUUAAAGCGUGUGUAGGCGGUUUGUCGCGUCUGCUGUGAAAUUUCGGGGCUCAACCCCGAACUUGCAGUGGGUACGGGCAGACUAGAGUGUGGUAGGGGAGACUGGAAUUCCUGGUGUAGCGGUGAAAUGCGCAGAUAUCAGGAGGAACACCGAUGGCGAAGGCAGGUCUCUGGGCCAUAACUGACGCUGAGAAGCGAAAGCAUGGGGAGCGAACAGG